AUGCUUUUUUUUUUGGCCUUUGUUUGGUGAUAUAUGAAUCAAUUUUGUUCUUGGUUUUUUAAUGUAUUCAUUUUGUGGAAAUAAACCAAUCAAGUGUGUCUAGUGGAUCAAAAUUUUUGUUACUUUGCUUACUUAAUUUCUUUUUCCUUGCUGAGUAUUUGAGUCAUUCCUUGGUUUGUUCUAACACACAAGAUUUCUGUUUGCUGGAUUUUCUUAGUAUUGAAAACUUAAAACUAUGUUAUGUAGAGUACUUGUACCCACCACUUUACCAAGCUUAAUACAAUAGCUAGAAAUUCUUUCCAUUGCUCUAUUGCUCUAUGAACCCUCCUUAAAUAAUAACCUAGAAUGCCAUGAUCCCAGAUGCCCUUAUACCUAUUUCUAGUGAAAUCUAGUUAGAUUUUGUUUUGCAGUCUCAAUGCAUAUUGGUGAAAGGGUUGGUGGGUGGUUUAAGCUCAAGUAGCCUAGGUCAAGUUAUGUUCAAACAAAGGAGAUUGUUCAAGCUGGGUGCUUAAGAAGAACGAUGUCAAUAAUAAGAAAAAUUUAUGUUCCCAUAGAGGUUAAACAUGCUGAUGUUUCCAUGGAAAUAAAAACAAAACAAUUGAGAUUGUUUAAGCUGGGUGCUUAGGAAACAACAAAUCCUACCGUGUAAAAAAAAAAAAAAAAAACUUCCAUUGACUGUUUUCAUUCUAUUUGAAUAUCCGGAGCUGUUGACUUUCUUAAUGAGAUGUCUCUUGCAUUUAAAUAGGUUUGAAAUUUUGAGAAUGAGAGUUGAAUAGUAGAUUAAUGGAUCAUGGAUGUGUUACUACUAUUUCUUGCUAGGGAUCUGGCUCAUGGAUGCAGAGGCAUGAUUGCCUUUGCAGGUAAUCUUUUCUAAAUCCAUCUUUAGGUUUCUGUUAAUUCUUAUUUGUCUCUUUCUACUUCUGUUUCCAGAUUGCCUUUGAAUGCUUGCAGAUUACUGAUCAAUAAAUUAGAAGCUGACUAUAUUCCUGAUUCUUUGUGAGGUUCGAUGUCCUAUUUAUUGUUAAUGUGUUCCUACCCUGUAUUUGUAGUUGAAACAUUUAUUCGGAGUCUGGACUGCAAUCAUUAUAGUGAAUGAGCUUUAAUAUCUUUGGAUGUACUGAUCAACCAUGGAAAGACAAAGCGAAUUGAUUCUCGGGAAUGAAUUUAAGAAAAAUCCAGGUUUUUAAGCAUGUGUUUUUGGCGAAGAGGUACAGGGCGCUAAAGAAGCAGAGGCACAAGUUUACAGGAAUCAAGUGUGGAAUCAACUACCAACCUCCUACUGUAGUUCCUGGAGGAGACUUGGACAAGGUUCAGAGAGUAGUUUUCAUGAUUUCAAACUCAGUGUUGCAAAGGUUUUCUCAAGAAUUGAUCUUGAGUUUAAUCUGAUGUAUGCAAAGUGUGCUUUUGUACGCUAGUUUGUUGGUGAGGGGAUGGAGGAAGGAGAAUUCUCUGAAUCUCGGGAGGAUCUAGCUGCUCUUGAGAAGAUAAAGAAAAUGUGGAUCCUAAUCUGAUCCUUUUUUGUAAAAUAGGAUUUCUGUUGGGACGUAUAACGUAAAAAAUUAUCAUUGAAAUGUUUUUUUUUUUUUUUUACAAAACCUUUUCAUAAGAAAAUGUAAUUGGGAAACUUCAUAAAUCAGUAGACUGUUAUGCCUA